UAAAGGUACCCGUACCGCAAACCGACACAGGUGGGUGAGGAGAGUAUCCUAAGGCCAGCGAGAGAACUGUUGUUAAGGAACUCGGCAAAAUGACCCCGUAACUUAGGGAUAAGGGGUGCCACCAUCAGGUGGCCGCAGAGAAUAGGCCCAAGCGACUGUUUACCAAAAACAUAGGUUUCUGCUAAGUCGCAAGACGAUGUAUAGGAGCUGACGCCUGCCCGGUGCUGGAAGGUUAAGGGGAUCUGUUAGAGCAAUCGAAGCAGUGAACUUAAGCCCCAGUAAACGGCGGCCGUAACUAUAACGGUCCUAAGGUAGCGAAAUUCCUUGUCGGGUAAGUUCCGACCCGCACGAAAGGC
rnacentral:rRNA from 1 species